rnacentral:rRNA from 1 species
UACGUAGGUGGCAAGCGUUAUCCGGAAUUAUUGGGCGUAAAGCGCUCGCAGGCGGUUUCUUAAGUCUGAUGUGAAAGCCCACGGCUCAACCGUGGAGGGUCAUUGGAAACUGGGGAACUUGAGUGCAGAAGAGGAGAGUGGAAUUCCACGUGUAGCGGUGAAAUGCGUAGAGAUGUGGAGGAACACCAGUGGCGAAGGCGACUCUCUGGUCUGUAACUGACGCUGAGGAGCGAAAGCGUGGGGAGCAAACAGG